rnacentral:rRNA from 1 species
CCUAUGUGUGGCUGCAGUGGGGGAUAUUGCACAAUGGGGGAAACCCUGAUCCAGCGACGCCGCGUGGGUGAAGAAGCGCCUCGGCGCGUAAAGCCCUGUCAGCAGGGAAGAAAAUGACGGUACCUGAAGAAGAAGCCCCGGCUAAACACGUGCCAGCAGCCGCGGUAAUACGUAGGGGGCAAGCGUUAUCCGGAUUUACUGGGUGUAAAGGGGGCGCAGACGGCGAUGCAAGCCAGGAGUGAAAGCCCGGGGCCGAACCCCGGGACUGCUCUUGGAACUGCGUGGCUAGAGUGCAGGAGGGGCAGGCGGAAUUCCUGGUGUAGCGGUGAAAUGCGUAGAUAUCAGGAGGAACACCGGUGGCGAAGGCGGCCUGCUGGACUGCAACUGACGUUGAGGCCCGAAAGCGUGGGGAGCAAACAGGAUUAGAUACCCUUGUAGUC